AAUGGUAGACUACAGGCCCGGGUACCACAACUGGAAACGGUGGCUAAUACCGGAUGUGCCGAAAGGUGAAAGAUUUAUUGCCUGAAGAUGAGCUCGCGUCUGAUUAGCUAGUUGGUGUGGUAAGAGCGCACCAAGGCGACGAUCAGUAGCUGGUCUGAGAGGAUGAUCAGCCACACUGGGACUGAGACACGGCCCAGACUCCUACGGGAGGCAGCAGUGGGGAAUUUUCCGCAAUGGGCGAAAGCCUGACGGAGCAAUACCGCGUGAGGGAGGAAGGCUCUUGGGUUGUAAACCUCUUUUCUCAGGGAAUAAAAAAAUGAAGGUACCUGAGGAAUAAGCAUCGGCUAACUCCGUGCCAGCAGCCGCGGUAAUACGGAGGAUGCAAGCGUUAUCCGGAAUGAUUGGGCGUAAAGCGUCCGCAGGUGGCACUGUAAGUCUGCUGUUAAAGAGCAAGGCUCAACCUUGUAAAGGCAGUGGAAACUACAGAGCUAGAGUACGUUCGGGGCAGAGGGAAUUCCUGGUGUAGCGGUGAAAUGCGUAGAGAUCANGAAGAACACCGGUGGCGAAAGCGCUCUGCUAGGCCGUAACUGACACUGAGGGACGAAAGCUAGGGGAGCGAAUGGGAUUAGAUACCCCCCNUAAUCCANNANCGGNC
rnacentral:rRNA from 1 species